AUUGAACGCUGGCGGCAUGCCUUACACAUGCAAGUCGAACGGCAGCACGGGAGCAAUCCUGGUGGCGAGUGGCGAACGGGUGAGUAAUAUAUCGGAACGUGCCCAGUCGUGGGGAUAACGUAGCGAAAGCUACGCUAAUACCGCAUACGAUCUAUGGAUGAAAGCGGGGGAUCGCAAGACCUCGCGCGAUUGGAGCGGCCGAUAUCAGAUUAGGUAGUUGGUGAGGUAAAGGCUCACCAAGCCGACGAUCUGUAGCUGGUCUGAGAGGACGACCAGCCACACUGGGACUGAGACACGGCCCAGACUCCUACGGGAGGCAGCAGUGGGGAAUUUUGGACAAUGGGCGCAAGCCUGAUCCAGCAAUGCCGCGUGCAGGAUGAA
rnacentral:rRNA from 1 species